rnacentral:rRNA from 1 species
UGGCGAACGGGUGAGUAACGCGUGAGGAACCUGCCUCAAAGAGGGGGACAACAGUUGGAAACGACUGCUAAUACCGCAUAAGCCCACGGGUCGGCAUCGACCAGAGGGAAAAGGAGCAAUCCGCUUUGAGAUGGCCUCGCGUCCGAUUAGCUAGUUGGUGAGGUAACGGCCCACCAAGACGACGAUCGGUAGCCGGACUGAGAGGUUGAACGGCCACAUUGGGACUGAGACACGGCCCAG